rnacentral:rRNA from 1 species
AUACGUAGGGGGCAAGCGUUAUCCGGAUUUACUGGGUGUAAAGGGAGCGUAGACGGCAAAGCAAGUCUGAAGUGAAAGCCCCGGGCUCAACCCGGGAAUUGCUUUGGAAACUGUUUAGCUGGAGUGCAGGAGAGGUAAGCGGAAUUCCUAGUGUAGCGGUGAAAUGCGUAGAUAUUAGGAGGAACACCGGCGGCGAAGGCGGCUUACUGGACUGUAACUGACGUUGAGGCUCGAAAGCGUGGGGAGCAAACAGGAUUAGAUCCCCUGGUAGUCCACGCCGUAAACGAUGAUUACUAGGUGUUGGUUGUCAUAGACAAUCGGUGCCGCAGCAAACGCAAUAAGUAAUCCACCUGGGGAGUACGUUCGCAAGAAUGAAACUCAAAUGAAUUGACGGGG